rnacentral:lncRNA from 1 species
AAAAAACCCCAUCACGUUCGGCACCUGGAGUGUUUGCUGUACUUUCUGUUACGUGUGCCAGCGCCUCUGUUUAACUGAGUUGACGAUGAAAGUAUUGAACAAGCAAAGAAUUGCUCAACUCCCUCGGUAGCCCUUCUAGAUUUCCCAUCAAGUUAAGAGGACGCAUCACGUUCAGUUUUGUCCUCUCAGGGUCUUACAUGCAUGUUCUAUCUUAGACCAACGGACACACAUCUUAAAGAUUAAACUCAUGUCCUCAUGAUUCAUGUAACGCAAAGAUGGCUUCCUCUGAUAUUAACACAUACUGGAAUAUUCUUCCAUGGCGUUAACAUUUUAGAGAACUUGCAGUGAAAGCUUUUCAUCUUUAACUUCCGCAGAUUGAAGAUGCCGCUUGCCCUGAAGGCUUUGGCCAAAGGACAGAUUACAAAACAAGAUACUGGCAACUAGUCAUUUUCUCCUCUCAAAAAGUUUAUCAAGGGCCUGCCGGUGGUGCAGCAGGAGAUUAGGACACAGACACAGAGGGAAGACCUCAUGAGGACACAAAGAGAAGACAGCCAUCUACAAGUCAAGGAGAGAGGCCUCAGAAGAAAUGCUGCCAACACCUUGAUCUCAGACUUCUAGCCUCCAGAACUGUGUGGAAACUGAGGCUUGGGGAGAAGAGUCUUGUCCAAUGCCACACGGGCAG